UACGGAGGGGGCAAGCGUUAUUCGGAAUCAUUGGGCGUAAAGGGCGCGUAGGCGGCUUGGCAAGUCAAAGGUGAAAUCCCUCGGCCUAACCGAGGAACUGCCUUUGAAACUGCUUGGCUUGAGGCCGGGAGAGGGUAGCGGAAUUCCCAGUGUAGCGGUGAAAUGCGUAGAUAUUGGGAGGAACACCAGUGGCGAAGGCGGGUCUCUGGGCCGAUACUGACGCUGAGGAGCGAAAGCGUGGGUAGCAAACAGG
rnacentral:rRNA from 1 species